AGAGAGAGAGAGAGAGAGAGAGAGAGAGAGAUCAGCCGGUGGAGAAGAAGAAGAAAGAAGGAAAGAAAGGAGGAAAUAGGUGACGAGUCGGUGAAUCAAGGAGCACCGAAACCAUAGUUGUACUUUCUUUUGGAGUACGAGGUGAGUGUUUGAUUUAUAGAUGUUAUUCUAUAUUGAAUUAAACUUGAAUGUUGGCUUAGUGCCCGAUGAUUGGCUUUAUGCCAAAAGGCUUUUAUGCCUUAAAUUAUUGGCUGUGUGCCCGGUGAUUGGCUUUAUGCCAUAGGGCUUUACGCCUUAAACUAUUGGCUGUGUGCCCGGUGAUUGGCUUUAUGCCAUAUGGCUUUAUGCCUUAAACUAUUGGCUGUGUGCCCGGUGAUUGGCUUAAUGCCAAAAGGCUUAUGCCUUAAAUUAUUAGCUGCUUGUCUGGUGUUACUUUUUAUUUCUCGAUAAACUGUUACAAGUUGAGAAUAUCUUUUAGCUGUACCUUUAAUAUGGAAUUGCAUCCAUGUCUCAUAACACUCCUGGAUUCCAUUUUGGAAUCCAAUUUUGCAGGCGUUGUAGAUAUCCACUGCUGAUCGUCGUGGGGUUGUACACUCGCUUAGGGUAGCAUGUUGGGAAGGUUGGACUAGUUUUGGCAAAAUUUUGUAGAUAGGGAUGUAGUUGCAGCCUAUGUUCAUAUUUGGUUUAUUGUAUAGUUUAAUGCUUUCUUAAGACUUCCGCUGUGUUUGUAAGAACGUUAAGUUUUGCGUUAUCAAUAAAAUGGUUGUUGGUUAA